UACGUAGGGUGCGAGCGUUGUCCGGAAUUACUGGGCGUAAAGGGCUCGUAGGUGGCCAACUAAGUCAUACGUGAAAUCCCUCAGCUUAACUGGGGAACUGCGUCUGAUACUGGAUGGCUUGAGUUUGGGAGAGGGAUGCGGAAUUCCAGGUGUAGCGGUGAAAUGCGUAGAUAUCUGGAGGAACACCGGUGGCGAAGGCGGCAUCCUGGACCAAUACUGACACUGAGGCGCGGAAAAGCGUGGGGAGCGAACAGG
rnacentral:rRNA from 1 species